AAAAAGUCCGUAGUCAUAGAAGGGCAAAGAGAGAUGCGAGGUCUCACAGUGCGAUGAUGGAGGAGCCGAUGGGGAACAUAGUAUACCAGGGCGAGAGAUGAAAUGCCAAGACCCCUGGUGGACUGAGCGAGGCGAAGGCGAUGUUCUUGUAGGCAUUCGGUGAUCAAGGACGAAGGCUGGAGUAUCGAAAGUGAUUAGAUACCGCAGUAGUUCCAGCAGUAAAAGAUGCCGACAUGCUCAUUGGACACAGUGGGCACAGAGAAAUCUUAGAGUUCGGGCUCUGGGGAUAGUAUGCUCGCAAGGGUGAAAAUUAAAGAAAUUGACGGAGCUACACCACAAGGAGUGGAUUGUGCGGCUUAAUUUGACUCAACGCGAGGAAACUUACCAGGGCCAAGUAUUGUGUAGAAACGAGCAAUACAGGAGUGGUGCAUGGUCGUUGGAAAUUGAUGGGAUGACUUUGACCUUAAAUGGUUGAAUGAGUGAGAUCUUUUGGACAUGUUCCGCACGGAACAGGAAGGAAAAGGCUAUAACAGAUCCGAGAUGCCCUCAGAUGCCCUGGGCUGCACGCGCAAUACAAUAGCAGGUAGAGAGAGAGACAGGAAGGGGCUCAGAUGGACUAUGUGCUGUAAGGCACAAACGAAAGAGGAAUUCCUAGUAAGU
rnacentral:rRNA from 1 species